rnacentral:rRNA from 1 species
UACAGAGGGUGCGAGCGUUAAUCGGAAUGACUGGGCGUAAAGGGCGCGUAGGUGGAUGUGUGUGUUGGAUGUGAAAGCCCCGGGCUUAACCUGGGAAUUGCAUACAAAACUGCACAUCUAGAGUAGAGCAGAGGUGAGUGGAAUUUCCGGAGUAGCGGUGAAAUGCGUAAAUACCGGAAGGAACACCAGUGGCGAAGGCGACUCACUGGGCUCAAACUGACACUGAGGCGCGGAAAGCGAUGGGGA